rnacentral:rRNA from 1 species
AGACGUAGGGGGCGAGCGUUGUCCGGAAUUACUGGGCGUAAAGAGCACGUAGGCGGGUAAUUAAGUCAGAUGUGAAAGACCAGGGCCUAACCCUGGGGUUGCAUCUGAAACUGGUUAUCUUGAGGGCAGGAGAGGGCAGUGGAAUUCCUGGUGUAGCGGUGAAAUGCGUAGAAAUCAGGAGGAACACCAGUGGCGAAGGCGGCUGCCUGGACUGACCCUGACGCUGAGGUGCGAAAGCGUGGGUAGCAAACAGGAUUAGAUACCCUGGUAGUCCACGCUGUAAACGAUGGAUACUAGGUGUGGGAGGUAUCGACCCCUUCCGUGCCGCAGCUAACGCAAUAAGUAUCCCGCCUGGGGAGUACGGUCGCAAGGCUGAA